AAUUCGAUGAUACGCGAGGAACCUUACCUGGCGUUAAUGCUUAAUGACGUACUGGGAAACUGGUAUUUCUUCGGUACAUUUUGCAAGGUGCUGCAUGGUUGUCGUCAGCUCGUGCCGUGAGGUGUCGGGUUAAGUCCCAUAACGAGCGCAACCCCUAUGUUAGUUGCCAUCAGGUCAUGCUGGGGACUCUAACAAAACUGCCCGCGUAAGCGUGGAGGAAGGUGGGGAUGACGUCAAAUCAGCACGGCCCUUACGUCCAGGGCUACACACGUGCUACAAUGGCCGGUACAGAGGGCAGCCACUUGGUGACAAGGAGCAAAUCUCAAAAGCCGGUCUCAGUUCGGAUCGGAGUCUGCAACUCGACUCCGUGAAGUUGGAUUCGCUAGUAAUCGUAGAUCAGCAAUGCUACGGUGAAUACGUUCCCGGGCCUU
rnacentral:rRNA from 1 species